UACGGGAGGCAGCAGUGGGGAAUAUUGCACAAUGGGCGCAAGCCUGAUGCAGCCAUGCCGCGUGUAUGAAGAAGGCCUUCGGGUUGUAAAGUACUUUCAGUCGUGAGGAAGGUGUUAAGGUUAAUAACCUUAGCAAUUGACGUUAGCGACAGAAGAAGCACCGGCUAACUCCGUGCCAGCAGCCGCGGUAAUACGGAGGGUGCGAGCGUUAAUCGGAAUUACUGGGCUAAAGGGCACGCAGGCGGUUAAUUAAGUUGGAUGUGAAAUCCCCGGGCUUAACCUGGGAAUGGCAUUCAAGACUGGUUAGCUAGAGUCUUGUAGAGGGGGUAGAAUUCCAUGUGUAGCGGUGAAAUGCGUAGAGAUGUGGAGGAAUACCGGUGGCGAAGGCGGCCCCUGGGACAAAGGACUGACGCUCAUGUGCGAAAGCGUGGGGAGCAAACAGGAUUAGAUACC
rnacentral:rRNA from 1 species